GGUGAACGCUGGCGGCGUGCCUAAUACAUGCAAGUCGAGCGAACAGACGAGGAGCUUGCUCCUCUGACGUUAGCGGCGGACGGGUGAGUAACACGUGGAUAACCUACCUUUAAGACUGGGAUAACUUCGGGAAACCGGAGCUAAUACCGGAUAAUAUAUUGAACCGCAUGGUUCAUUAGUGAAAGCCGUUUUUGCUGUCACUUAUUGAUGGAUCCGCGCCGCAUUAGCUAGUUGGUAAGGUAACGGCUUACCAAGGCAACGAUGCGUAGCCGACCUGAGAGGGUGAUCAGCCACACUGGAACUGAGACACGGUCCAGACUCCUACGGGAGGCAGCAGUAGGGAAUCUUCCGCAAUGGGCGAAAGCCUGACGGAGCAAUGCCGCGUGAGUGAUGAAGGUCUUCGGAUCGUAAAACUCUGUUAUUAGGGAAGAACAAAUGUGUAAGUAACUAUGCACGUCUUGACGGUACCUAAUCAGAAAGCCACGGCUAACUACGUG
rnacentral:rRNA from 1 species